GAGCAGAUGAUGAUAAGUUAAAGCUGAACUUAUGUGUAGAACAUAUAAUACGAGCUUUUUAACUCUGAUGCUUG
rnacentral:snoRNA from 1 species